AUGUUCAAGCAUAAGGGUGUCCAUCAGUGCACGUGGCACCAGGACACCCUAGGUUGGAGGUCUAUGAUCGACUUUGUGGUCGUGUCAUCUGACCUCCGACCAUAUGUCUUGGACACUCGGGUGAAGAGAGGGGCUGAGCUGUCAACUGAUCACCACCUGGUGGUGAGUUGGAUCCGAUGGCGGAGGAGGGAGCUGGAUAGACCUGGCAGACCCAAACGUAUUGUGAGGGUCUGUUGGGAACGUCUGGUGGAACCCUCUGUCAGAGAGGUCUUCAACUCCCACCUCCGGGAGAGCUACAAUCAGGUCCUGAGGGAGCCUGGAGACAUUGAGUCCGAGUGGACCAUGUUUUCCACCUCCAUUGUCAAUGCGGCUGUUCGGAGCUGUGGCCGUAGGGUCUCUGGUGCCUGUCAUGGCAGCAAUCCCCGAACCCGGUGGUGGACACCGGAAGUAAGGGAAGCUGUCAAGCUGAAGAAGGAGUCUUAUCAGGCCUGGUUGGCCUGUGGGACUCCUGAUGCAGCUGAUGGGUAUCGGCAGGCCAAAUGUGCCGCAGCCCGCGCGGUCGCAGAGGCAAAAACUCGGACCUGGGAAAAGUUCGGCGAGGCCAUGGAGGAGGACUAUCGGUCUGCCUCAAGGAAAUUCUGGCAAACCGUCCGGCGCCUCAGAAGGGGAAAGCAGUUUCCCGCCAACACUGUUUACAGUGGAGGUGGGGAGUUGCUGACUUCGACUGGGGACGUUGUAGGACGGUGGAAGGAAUACUUUGAGGAUCUCCUCAACCCCGUCGUCACGCCUUCUGUUGAGGAAGCAGAGGCUGGGGACUCGGAGGUUGAUUCGUCCAUUUCCCUGGUCGAAGUCACUGAAGUAGUCAGUAAGCUCCUCGGUGGCAAGGCACCAGGGGUGGAUGAAAUUCGCCCCGAGUACCUUAAGUCUCUGGAUGUUGUAGGGCUGUCUUGGUUGACACGCCUUUGCAGCAUCGCGUGGAGAUCGGGGACAGUACCUCUGGACUGGCAGACCGGGGUGGUGGUUCCUCUUUUUAAAAAGGGGGACCGGAGGGUGUGUUCCAGCUAUAGGGGGAUCACACUCCUCAGCCUCCCUGGGAAAGUCUAUUCCAGAGUGCUGGAGAGGAGAGUUAGGCCGCUAGUCGAACCUCGGAUCCAGGAGGAACAAUGCGGUUUUCGUCCUGGCCGUGGAACACUGGACCAGCUCCAUACUCUUGCUAGGGUGCUCGAGGGUUCAUGGGAGUUCGCCCAUCCAGUCUACAUGUGUUUUGUGGACUUGGAGAAGGCGUUUGACCGUGUCCCUCGUGGCAUCCUGUGGGGGGUACUCCGGGAAUACGGGAUUCGGGACCCUUUGUUAAGGGCCAUUCGGUUGGCCUCAUCAGACCGGGACCUCCAGCAGGCACUGGGGCGGUUUGCAGCCGAGUGUGAAGGGGCUGGGAUGAGAAUCAGCACCUCCAAGUCCGAGGCCAUGGUUCUCAACCGGAAAAAGGUGGUUUGCACCCUCCAGGUUGGGGGGGAGAUCCUCCCUCAAGUGGAGGAGUUUAAGUAUCUUGGGGUCUUGUUCACGAGUGAGGGAAAUAGGGAGCGUGAGAUUGACAGACGGAUUGGUGCAUCGGCAGCAGUAAUGCGGUCGGUGUACCGGUCCGUCGUGGUGAAAAAGGAGCUGAGCCGAAAGGCAAAGCUCUCGAUUUACCGGUCAGUCUACGUUCCUACCCUCACCUACGGUCAUGAGCUUUGGGUCAUGACCGAAAGGACAAGGUCGUGGAUACAAGCGGCCGAAAUGAGUUUCCUCCGCAGAGUGGCUGGGCGCACCCUUAGAGAUAGGGUGAGGAGCUCAGUCACCCGGGAGGAGCUCGGAGUUGAGCCGCUGCUCCUCUGCAUCGAGAGGGGCCAGUUGAGGUGGCUUGGGCAUCUGUUUCGGAUGCCCCCGGGACGCCUCGUAGGGGAGGUUUUCCGGUCCUGUCCCACCGGGCGGAGGCCCCGGGGAAGACCCAGGACACGUUGGAGGGACUAUGUCUCUCGGCUGGCCUGGGAACGCCUCGGUGUCCCCCCGGAAGAGCUGGAGGAGGUGUCUAGGGAGAGGGAAGUCUCUCUGCUUAAGCUGCUCCCCCCGCGACCCGCCCCCAGAUAA
rnacentral:lncRNA from 1 species